UACGAAGGGGGGCUAGCGUUGCUCGGAAUCACUGGGCGUAAAGCGCACGUAGGCGGCUUUUUUAAGUCAGGGGUGAAAUCCUGGAGCUCAACUCCAGAACUGCCUUUGAUACUGAGAGCUUGAGUCCGGGGAGAGGUGAGUGGAACUGCGAGUGUAGAGGUGAAAUUCGUAGAUAUUCGCAAGAACACCAGUGGCGAAGGCGGACU
rnacentral:rRNA from 1 species